AUUGAACGCUGGCGGCAUGCUUUACACAUGCCAGUCGAACGGCAGCGCGGGCUUCGGCCUGGCGGCGAGUGGCGAACGGGUGAGUAAUGCAUCGGAACGUGCCCAGUAGUGGGGAUAGCCCGGCGAAAGCCGGAUUAAUACCGCAUACGACCUGAGGGUGAAAGCGGGGGACCGAAAGGCCUCGCGCUAUUGGAGCGGCCGAUGUCGGAUUAGCUAGUUGGUGGGGUAAAGGCUUACCAAGGCGACGAUCCGUAGCUGGUCUGAGAGGACGACCAGCCACACUGGGACUGAGACACGGCCCAGACUCCUACGGGAGGCAGCAGUGGGGAAUUUUGGACAAUGGGGGCAACCCUGAUCCAGCCAUGCCGCGUGCGGGAAGAAGGCCUUCGGGUUGUAAACCGCUUUUGUUCGGGAAGAAAUCCUCUGGGCUAAUACCCCGGGGGGAUGACGGUACCGGAAGAAUAAGCACCGGCUAACUACGUG
rnacentral:rRNA from 1 species